GAUGAACGCUAGCGGCAGGCCUAAUACAUGCAAGUCGAGGGGCAGCACGGGUAGCAAUAUCUGAUGGCGACCGGCAAACGGGUGCGGAACACGUACACAACCUUCCAAUAAGUGGGGAAUAGCCCAGAGAAAUUUGGAUUAAUACCCCGUAACAUAACGAUGUGGCAUCACAUUGUUAUUAUAGAUUUUUCGCUUAUUGAUGGGUGUGCGGCUGAUUAGAUAGUUGGCGGGGUAACGGCCCACCAAGUCUACGAUCAGUAGCUGAUGUGAGAGCAUGAUCAGCCACACGGGCACUGAGACACGGGCCCGACUCCUACGGGAGGCAGCAGUAAGGAAUAUUGGACAAUGGACGCAAGUCUGAUCCAGCCAUGCCGCGUGAAGGAUUAAGGUCCUCUGGAUUGUAAACUUCUUUUAUAAGGGACGAAAAAAGGCUUUUCUAAGUCGUCUGACGGUACCUUAUGAAUAAGCACUGGCUAACUCCGUGCCAGCCGCCGCAGUAAGAC
rnacentral:rRNA from 1 species